rnacentral:rRNA from 1 species
UACGUAGGGUGCGAGCGUUAAUCGGAAUUACUGGGCGUAAAGCGUGCGCAGGCGGUUGUGCAAGACAGAUGUGAAAUCCCCGGGCUUAACCUGGGAAUGGCAUUUGUGACUGCACGGCUAGAGUGUGUCAGAGGGGGGUAGAAUUCCACGUGUAGCAGUGAAAUGCGUAGAUAUGUGGAGGAAUACCGAUGGCGAAGGCAGCCCCCUGGGAUAACACUGACGCUCAUGCACGAAAGCGUGGGGAGCAAACAGG